UAAUAGUGUAUAUUAAAGUUGUUGCAGUUAAAAAGCUCGUAGUUGAAUGUUGGUGUCGAACGAGCGGUCAGCUUCGGCUGUACUGCUCUCUCGACUCCUUCCUUCUGUGGACUACGUCGCACUUUACUGUGUGGCGCUAGGACGCAGAUCGUUUACUGUGAAAAAAUUAGAGUGUUCAAAGCAGGCCGUACGCUUGAAUACAUUAGCAUGGAAUAAUGGAAUAGGACGUCGGGCCUAUUUUGUUGGUUCUAGGACCGUCGUAAUGAUUAAUAGGGUCAGUUGGGGCCGUUUAUAUUCCGUAGUCAGAGGUGAAAUUCUUGGAUUUACGGAAGAUAAACUACUGCGAAAGCAUUCGGCAAGGAUGUUUUCGUUAA
rnacentral:rRNA from 1 species